CCUACGGGUGGCAGCAGUCGGGAAUAUUGGGCAAUGGAGGAAACUCUGACCCAGCAAUACCGCGUGAAGGAUGACGGUUUUCGGAUUGUAAACUUCUGUUUUUAAGGAAGUAAAACAUGACGGUACUGUAUACGUAAGUCUCGGCAAACUAUGUGCCAGCAGCCACGGGGAUACAUAGGGGGCAGGCGUUGUCCGGAAUGACUGGGUGUAAAGGGUGGGUAGGUGGCUUGUUAAGUUAGAGGUGAAAGCCCGAAGCUCAACUUCGGAACUGCCUUUAAAACUGGUUGGCUUGAGUGUGGGAGAGGGUAGUGGAACUCCUAGUGUAGCGGUGGAAUGCGUAGAUAUUAGGAAGAACAUCGGAGGCGAAGGCGACUAACUGGAACAUUACUGACACUGAAACACGAAAGCGUGGGGAGCAAACAGGAUUAGAUACCCCUGUAGUC
rnacentral:rRNA from 1 species